GCAGAGGAUUGGUGCUUGCACUAAUCUAAUGAGUUGCGAACGGGUGAGUAACGCGUAGGUAACCUGCCUGGUAGCGGGGGAUAACUAUUGGAAACGAUAGCUAAUACCGCAUAAUAGUUUAUGACUCAUGUUAUAAACUUGAAAGAUACAACUGUAUCACUACCAGAUGGACCUGCGUUGUAUUAGCUAGUAGGUAGGGUAACGGCCUACCUAGGCGACGAUACAUAGCCGACCUGAGAGGGUGAUCGGCCACACUGGGACUGAGACACGGCCCAGACUCCUACGGGAGGCAGCAGUAGGGAAUCUUCGGCAAUGGGGGGAACCCUGACCGAGCAACGCCGCGUGAGUGAAGAAGGUUUUCGGAUCGUAAAGCUCUGUUGUUAAGGAAGAACGGGAGUAGGAGUGGAAAGCCUACUUUGUGACGGUACUU
rnacentral:rRNA from 1 species